ACUUUAUUCCAGUGGUUUUCUCUUCUCACUGGAAUAAUAAAACAAAACCUACCCUGCUAUUCCAAUCUCUCUCUUGGAGUCUACUGCUCUCUUGUGGACUGAGCCACUCACAAAUGAAAAAGUACAGAAAUUAGGCAAUGACAGCGAGAGGGAUGGAAAGAGGAACAGACAGAUAAAUCCAAUGAACAAGCCGUGUUUGGAGUUUGAUAACUCGUCGCACUAUUUUAUUGAAUUACUGACAUCUCAGAAGAAGAAGAGAGCCUUGCCACUUGCUGUUUUUUUCACCAUAGCGUUGAUGCAACACUGAAAAAAGCUAUCUCCAAACAAACACAAGUCUCUCGUUAGUGGCUGAUAUGUAAGAGGCAGAGAGCAUCCCGCCGGACAGCUUUGCAUGAAACAUACAAAUGAAACGGGUUCAGCCUUUUUCCAUUUUCUACUUUUUUAGUUUUUUUGUCCUUUCACAUAUAAUAAUAAAUAUCCAGACGUAUAAACACUCCAAAAAUCAAAAUAUUAAGUCACAGAUACUGUAAAAAGCUCACUUUGAAAUCACAAUGAUAAAUGUACAAAACAAUAGACAUCUCGUAUAAAUGGUAUGGUUUUCGGUCGAGGCUUAGACGUUUUUUUUUGUGAGUUUUUAGAUUCAUGGAUAAAAACGUAACUUGAAGAUUCAGUAUUUCCUGAGGUUUAUGGGUUCCCCCUUUGAAGGCCAGGAGAGGGGAAUGGCUUUUAUGUUACCAAGGAGAGAUUACAACACGUCAAAGUGAACACCACCCAGGUGAGUGGUCUCACCUCGCGACACGGGCCCAACGAUACAUUAUUCUGAGCAAUUCAAUAGUACAUGAUGGAUUCUAUCCCAAAGGGUUAGUUUAACAAUUAACUAUUUUCCUGACCACAAUGUCUUCCGAUAUUAGUUUUACUAAUCUAGCUGACUUGAUAAAUACUAAAUGGUCCACUUUGAGAUGUCGUGAAGCUCCCCUUUACUUAAGACUUGACAGUUUGAGGUGCUUAGCCACCACCGAUCCCAGUCGUAACGGCCCACUCCGACCGCAAAGGGUCAAAGGUCAAAGUGGUCACAUCUGCAUUGGAUUCAACUAUAAAAGUAAAUAUGAAAGAAAAAAAAGUACGCAGAUUGUGGCAAAGGUGAGAAAUAAAAAACAGAGAAAAAAGCAAGUUGUAAAACUGUACAUGUAAACAUCACACUUUCACUGAGUCCAAAACCAGAGGGGGAAUUACGAAGCUUCACACUGGAAUAUACCCCUUGCACAAAGCUACAAUCUCUUUUCAGUGCAGGGGAGGUGACAAAUAAAAUCAUAUAAAUAACAAUAACAAAAAUCUUACAGAGCACCACCAAAUAAAGUCAUAACAGGCAAGGGUUUAAAAAACCACUUUUUUCAAAACAGUGCUGUACUCACAGGAAAAUGAAAUGUUUCAAACAUGUCUUUUUUUUAUCACUCUUUGUACAGCUAUACAGUACAUUUAUCUGACCACUUGAGCAAUCCACAAACUACCAGGGCAAUUUUCAUUAACAUCAAUACGUUACAUUUUCCAGUCAAUACAAAGAUAAAUUCGAUUGGCCAUUACAAAAAAAGAUGUCUACCAGGGGUAUGGUCCUCCUCGUUCACAGUAACUCCAGCACAGACCCACAUGUUCGUUCUCAGUGUAGACCCAAAGACAUCGAUACAAAUCUGCAAGCAAAAAUAUUGAGGGGACGAGAGCUUUGGAGAGACGGCAGUAAGAGAUGACGAAUGAUGCGGAACCACCGCGCACGAGCUUCACUUUUAGCGUUGCUUUUAGAAAAUGCGUGGGAGAGCCAUCGUGCGGUUGCCAUGGCUACUGUAAUAGCUGGUUAACACGAAGCAGUUGGAGGACAAAAAAGGAAGACGUCUGUGGGGACCAGGGUGGCAAGUUCAGAAACUCCAUGUUUUUUUCUACUGUGUGUUAAUUACUUUCCAUUUUGAAUCUACAAAUGCAAAAAAGAAGAUAAACUGAAACUGAUAAUAAAGUGGUUGUUAUUUUUUUCUGUACCCAAAUGUACUUCUAUAUCAAUAGACACAGUUGCACACAGAUUAAAAUGGUCCAGUGUGCUACCUGUCCAGGAAAUGCUGGACUGGAACAGAUAUUCCAAGUGAGGUAAAGACACACCUCACUGUAUUGUGUUACCUUAAUCCUGAGCUAUAAAGUGCUUACAAACUUGCAAUAGAUAAUAUCAUUGACAAUUAAAAUGUAACGCGGUCCAAUUGAUAAUGGGGUUGUGAUAUCUGCUGUGCAUCAGGCUUUGUGUAACACAUGACAGGCCUAAUAUCAUUGCGUGACAUCAACAUAUGCAUGGGCAGUGAUACACUGGUCAUGUAUUACACAUACUAGCUGAUAUGGUUGGGAUUUGUAAUAAAUACAGAAAUAUAAUCGCCAAAGCAACAAGGCGUGGGCCAGGUUCGCUGUUUGAUGAAGAGACUUUGUUUCAUUUGGAAUGUUUCCGACCACUGAAUCACUUCACAGGUUCACUCACACACAUUCACUACAAAAUAGCUAUGAAAGGGUCACUCCAUUUCACACAAUCCAACAAAGGUGUUAAUGCUAACACUUACAUCAAAGGGUAAAAACAAAGAAAUGUUAAAUAAAAUACACAACAGAACCACAUUUACGUACACCAACACGGCUGCGUUUGUGCUGAGUCCUCCACUGAUUCAACCAGUAAAGUCAAGUGUCUGCGCUGAGACUGUGCUCUCCGUCUGGCUAUUGGUAUACUCUGUGUGCUCUCUGAUCUCCAACACACACACACACACACACACACACACACACACACACACACACACACACACACACACACACACACACACAGGCGCGCGCACACACACCCUUGCGGCAAUGUUGUCAGCGUAAACUGUGAUGUGAUUACAUCUUUUUCAAAGAUUGUCUUUUGCUUUUUUUUUUAACAGUAUUUUGUUUUCAUCAUGACAGGGGUGUUGACAUGUAGGGAUGUGGUAACAGAGGAAUAUCAUCAAUGUUGUGGAAAAAAAAGAUGAGUUAAAUAUAUAUAUGAUAUAUAUAUGUAUAUAUAUAUAUAUAUAUAUAUAUAUAUA
ensembl:lncRNA